rnacentral:rRNA from 1 species
AUUGAACGCUGGCGGCAGGCUUAACACAUGCAAGUCGAGCGGGGUGAUGGUGCUUGCACUAUCACUUAGCGGCGGACGGGUGAGUAAUGCUUAGGAAUCUGCCUAUUAGUGGGGGACAACAUCUCGAAAGGGAUGCUAAUACCGCAUACGUCCUACGGGAGAAAGCAGGGGAUCACUUGUGACCUUGCGCUAAUAGAUGAGCCUAAGUCGGAUUAGCUAGUUGGUGGGGUAAAGGCCUACCAAGGCGACGAUCUGUAGCGGGUCUGAGAGGAUGGUCCGCCACACUGGGACUGAGACACGGCCCAGACUCCUACGGGAGGCAGCAGUAGGAAAUCUUCCGCAAUGGGCGAAAGCCUGACGGAGCAAUGCCGCGUGAGUGAAGAAGGCCUUCGGGUCGUAAAACUCUGUUAUAAGAGAAGAACAAAUUGUAGAGUAACUGCUACAGUCUUGACGGUAUCUUAUCAGAAAGCCACGGCUAACUACGUGCCAGCCGCCGCGGUAA